GACGAACGCUGGCGGCGUGCUUAACACAUGCAAGUCGAACGGAAAGGCCCUGCUUUUGUGGGGUGCUCGAGUGGCGAACGGGUGAGUAACACGUGAGUAACCUGCCCUUGACUUUGGGAUAACUUCAGGAAACUGGGGCUAAUACCGGAUAGGAGCUCCUGCUGCAUGGUGGGGGUUGGAAAGUUUCGGCGGUUGGGGAUGGACUCGCGGCUUAUCAGCUUGUUGGUGGGGUAGUGGCUUACCAAGGCUUUGACGGGUAGCCGGCCUGAGAGGGUGACCGGCCACAUUGGGACUGCGAUACGGCCCAGACUCCUACGGGAGGCAGCAGUGGGGAAUAAUGCACAAUGGGCGGAAGCCUGAUGCAGCAACGCCGCGUGCGGGAUGACGGCCUUCGGGUUGUAAACCGCUUUCGCCUGUGACGAAGCGUGAGUGACGGUAAUGGGUAAAGAAGCACCGGCUAACUACGUG
rnacentral:rRNA from 1 species